rnacentral:rRNA from 1 species
AGUGAACGCUGGCGGUAGGCCUAACACGUGCAAGUCGAACGGCAGCACAGGAGAGCUUGCUCUCUGGGUGGCGAGUGGCGGACGGGUGAGGAAUACAUCGGAAUCUACUUUUUCGUGGGGGAUAACGUAGGGAAACUUACGCUAAUACCGCAUACGACCUACGGGUGAAAGCAGGGGACCUUUGGGCCUUGCGCGAUUGAAUGAGCCGAUGUCGGAUUAGCUAGUUGGCGGGGUAAAGGCCCACCAAGGCGACGAUCCGUAGCUGGUCUGAGAGGAUGAUCAGCCACACUGGAACUGAGACACAGUCCAGACUCCUACGGGAGGCAGCAGUGGGGAAUAUUGGACAAUGGGCGCAGGCCUGAUCCAGCCAUACCGCGUGGGUGAAGAGGGCCUUCGGGUUGUAAAGCCCUUUUGUUGGGAAAGAAAUCCAGCUGGCUAAUACCCGGUUGGGAUGACGGUACCCAAAGAAUAAGCACCGGCUAACUUCGUGCCAGCCGCCGCAGUAA